ACCCUCUAAUUUCCUUUGCCAGCAGAUCUAAACGCUGGUCUGAGUGGUUAUAGAAGGAGGAAAAGUCAAAUCGAAACUGACUUCAAUUCUUCUGUGACACACAAGCUAGAUUCAAACAAAA